AGUCAUAUGCUUGUCUCAAAGAUUAAGCCAUGCAAGUGUCAGUUCAUGCCAAACUAAGGUGAAACCGCGAAUGGCUCAUUAAAUCAGUUAUAAUUUACUUGAUGGCAUGACGUUACCGUUACUUGGAUAACUGUGGCAAUUCUAGAGCUAAUACAUGCACUCGGGUCCUGACCGUGUGAGCGGAAGGGACGCUUUUAUUAGAUCAAAACCAAUCGGGAAGUCGCGGCGCUUCGCGCGCCGCGGCGUACCGCAUCCGUCUUGGUGACUCUGGAUAAAUUGCCGCUGAUCGCAAGGUCUCAGCACCUGCGACGCAUCUUUCAAAUGUCUGACUUAUCAACUAUCGACGGUAUGCCACGUGCCUACCGUGGUGGUAACGGGUAACGGGGAAUCAGGGUUCGAUUCCGGAGAGGGAGCCUGAGAAACAGCUACCACAUCCAAGGAAGGCAGCAGGCGCGCAAAUUACCCACUCCCGGCACGGGGAGGUAGUGACGAAAAAUAACGAUGCAGAACUCUUUUCGAGGCUUUGCAAUCGGAAUGAGAAGAGCCUAAAUCAUUUACCGAGUAUCCAUUGGAGGGCAAGUCUGGUGCCAGCAGCCGCGGUAAUUCCAGCUCCAAUAGCGUAUAUUAAAGUUGUUGCGGUUAAAAAGCUCGUAGUUGGACCUGUGUUUUCGCGCUGUCGGUUCACCGCCCGUCGGUGCAUAACUGGCAGUUCCGCGGAACGUCCUGCCGGUUGGCGUGUCCCCUCCCCGGGCGAGGCGCCGCGGUUUUUUAUUAGCCGUUCCGGUCGUCUCGCGCCGGUGCGGGGGGUGCCAUAGGUUCGAUUCCGGAGAGGGAGCGGACGUCCCUGUGUCGAUGCUCUUUGCCGGGCGUCGAAACGGGCCGGCACGUUUACUUUGAACAAAUUUGAGUGCUCAAAGCAGGCACGUGAAAACCGCUUGAA
rnacentral:rRNA from 1 species